GCGGUGGAGCAUGUGGUUAAUUCGAAGCAACGCGGAGAACCUUACCAGGCCUUGACAUGCUAGGGAACCCGGUGAAAGCCUGGGGUGCCCGCGAGGGAGCCCUAGCACAGGUGCUGCAUGGCUGUCGUCAGCUCGUGUCGUGAGAUGUUGGGUUAAGUCCCGCAACGAGCGCAACCCUCGCCUUUAGUUGCCAGCAUUCAGUUGGGCACUCUAGAGGGACUGCCGGUGUCAAACCGGAGGAAGUGGGGAUGACGUCAAGUCCUCAUGGCCCUUAUGACCAGGGCUACACACGUGCUACAAUGGCCGGUACAAAGAGUUGCGAUACCGCGAGGUGGAGCUAAUCUCAUAAAGCCGGUCUCAGUUCGGAUUGGAGUCUGCAACUCGACUCCAUGAAGUUGGAAUCGCUAGUAAUCGCGGAUCAGCACGUCGCGGUCGAAUACGUUCCCGGGCCUU
rnacentral:rRNA from 1 species